CGCAAACCGUGCCUCCCGAGAAAAACGCUUCGUCCAUACCAUCCCUUCUUCCAUCCUCCCCCCCUUCCCGCACGCCGCCGCGCCCAUCACUUUUCAUCUCCGACCAGCGCCGCCUCUGUCGGCUCCGUUGUCCGAGUUGUACCAUGGGCUCCUAGGGACCAUCCUCUCGGCGGCGAACGGGAAGAGGGGGAGGAUGGAAGAAGGGAGCGUGGAUGGCAGCAGCGGCGAAAACCGUGGAGGCGACCUAGCAAAUCCUUGCGCCUCCACGCAAAUUCGCGCCUCCGCCCUGACCUGGUCCUCUUCUCCCCUUCCGCGUCGACAGAGGGCUCCGAUGGAGGACGACUGCAGGUCGCUGAGGCAAAGUACAAAUGACGGCCACGACUCCGUGUUGUUCAUGGCCACCAUCGGCGGCCGAACUCCGGAUCUGGGCAAGGAGGGCCCGAGCAGGAUUGCCGGGCACUGAGGCAACCGCCGGCGACGGCCACGGCUCCAUGCUAUUCAUGACCACCAUCGGCAUCCACGCUCCGGAUCUGGGCAGGGAGGGACCGAUAUGGGAUUGGAGAUUCGGGCCCAUGGCGUGGCGGCGCGUCCUCUCCCUGGGUCUCAAAAAUUCGAGUACUUGAAUUCUCUGCAAGCACGAUGCAUUAUGUGGAUUUUUAUCAUAGGUACACAAGUUUUUCUUCAUGGAUCCAACUACAUGAACAUAGAGGAGGUUGAUCAUACAGUCAUUAGAGUUUACUGAACUGGGCUAUGUUUUUGUUGGGAGACAUAUUGAGGAUAGAGUUUACUGAACUGGGCUAUGUUUUUGUUGGGAGACAUAUUGAGGAUAAAGGAAAAGGUAGAUCACGAUGACGAGCACGUCGAGCUGCGGAGGAACAUGGCAAGCUAUGACGAAGCACGGCGAGCUGCAGAGAAGCAUGGCGAGUUACCAAGGAGCAAUGACGUCUCAGACAUGUUCGCAGGAGCUCCACAUGUUCCGGGCGGAUGGAGGCGGUGUGACUGGCGGCUGGGGAGGAGGAGCACGUGUGGGUGCGCAACUGGCCGAGGCAGCAACGCGCACCUGAUCACUUGAGGCGGAGAGGGCUUCAGCGCUGGAGGGUUGCACCUGCCCAGCUCAAGUUGGAGAUAGUGGGGCGUUCGCGCAACGUGGGGGUUUCAGCUUUAAAUAUUGGAAAUUAACCACAUGAGCCUAAUUUUAUUAUGAUUUAAAUAUUGGUUUUGUACGAUAUUCACAUUUAUUUAGCAAAUUUCAAUUUUAUUGAAUUAAUUGUAUACUCAAAAUUUUCUGUACCUGCAGUACUUAGCUCAUCUUGGCAUUGUGCCAGAUUGAAAUCACCUCGCCCGAAGUUGCGCCUCAGCUCAACAUUGCCACGCCUGAAUAUCUGCUCCAGCUCGGCAGCGGCAACACAACAGCUGCUCGACGACACACACUCAGUUUGUGGUUGCCGGGUGCACAACUCAAUCUUCUACCAAGCACGGGCCCAACAGCCUAUGCAAGAGCUUGUAAGGUGUGCGGGAUGCAAAGUGGACGCCUCCUACGGCGAUGAGAUAGGUUGCAAUGUUUCGUUGCAAGAAUCACCACACAGGUGUCCCAUUUUUGCUUUUAGCUGCUUACAUACAUGCUUCCACACAUUUAAUAUGAUUGUAUUCCUACUUUUCAGCCAAGUUCUUCAUUGAUAAUGUGACAAGUGUGUUUUUUAUUGCGUUACAAUAUUUCUUACUUCAAAAUAUCUAUACAGACUUAUAAUAGGGAAAUGCUUUUGUAGUUACACACAUGGGUGUGGAUAUUUCUAUCACUGUUCGUUGUUCUUUGAGAUUCGGAUAAAAAGAGGAGAGAGAAAGAAAUCUUUCAUCUAUAAUGGUGAGAACGAAUCUCAAGGAAUAAACAGAUGGUGACAAAAAACCACACCCAUGCAUGUAAGUACAAAAUCCACUCUCAUAUAAUAAGAUUGAUAUUGAUUUAAUAUGUAUAAUAAAAUGUUUGAGGCUAGGAGGAUGACGCGGCCGAUGACGGCGACAAGGCAUACUCUGCCGUAUAACAGGUAUAUCUUCUUGUCUCACCUCCCGCUUGUAUCGGCAAGGGAUACUCUACCCUAUAACGGGUAUAUCUUCUUGUACCACCCCACGCUUGUAUCGCCAUCAAUGUCUGUUCAUAUAUGUAUUGAUCUGAUCUAUGGAUAAUGAUCCAGCGGCACAACACCAUGUGAAGUAACAACGCUCCCUUUUAUUCAUGUGUAUCCAU